UUGUUUGCAAACAGGGUGGGAAACCCCAGCCCUGCCCAGAGGGGGAGGGCAGGGCCUGAGACUCUCAGUCAGCCAUGGAUGGCUCCACUCAGCUCAGCUCAGCUCAGCCUCACUUUUCUCCUGGAGCCUGUGAACCCCUUGAAAGCUGGCACUCUUACAAAGAGCUCUCUAGCAGGUUGGCAGAGUGGAAAAAUCCACGUUUCUCUGUUAAAAUGGGAAAUUCAUCUUUUUCAUGGGAAAGAGGGAAAAUCCAUUUUCCAUGGGAAACAGAAGACUCGGAUCCCUGAUUAUCACAGAGUCUGGCUGUAGAUUUAUGAAGUGAAGUUCCUAGGCUCAUCUGCCAUAAUCUCAGGCCUGAUUUUCACCUCCAACAGUCCCCUCCUUGAUACCUUUCAUAUGGGUAAUCUUCAGGGUAUCAACACGAAGAUAUGAGGGGCUGAGUCAUAGUUUCUGUUUCUUCCUCGGAAGACACCAUGCCCAAUCAUUAUGGCAACCUCACACCUCACUAUGGAUAAGGACUUCAUUGAGGAGAUUUACUUGUCAGAUUCCAACUUGUUACAUGGAUAAACUAUAACUCAGCAUGAACUAGGGGGAAUCAGGAAACAGGAAAACUGUUGCUAACCCUCUAUUACUUGUAUCAGUGAAAUGUUAUCAUACAUACUGGUGGUCUCCGCAUUCAUGUCUUCAUACACAUUUUCUCGAUUCACUUUCAUAUAUCCUUCAUUCAACAACUCAGCCAAUUGUAUUUUGGGGUUAGCCCUUUUAACCACACUGUAAUGUACCCAAUCUGCUUCCUUAACUGACACAUCCAAAUCAGAGUCAUCAUAUCGAACAGUCCCAAACAUACCUGACAAGCCAUGACCACAACAAUUGGAUGAAGCAUCAAAUUUAGAAUACCAGUGGCUGUUGGACUCCACCCAGACAAUGUCUCCCACUAUGGGUGAUUUGCUUUUUUGGCAAAAUUAUUCAUAAUUUGGGUGAUAUUAUUAUUAUGAAUCACCUUUCCGUAUAAUUGUUCAGUCUUUUCAGCAUUUGCAUUCAAUAUUUCCUGUAUUCCAUCGUGUAGAAUUAAUUGUUUUAAUAUGGACAAUUCCAUGCCAAUGUGACUGGUAUAAUCCUUUCAUAUACUGUAAAAUUUCUAAUUAUUGUCAGGUUAUACAUAUAUGGCAUUUUAAAGUCCACAUCACAUCCUAAGAUGUGAGUGGUGUGGCACAUGCAAAAUGUUCUGUUAUGCCAAGAUAUACUGAGUCUGAACCAAUGAUUUACAAUUACAUGUUGUCACCAGGUACAUAUACAGAUGCAUUGUUCAUUAACUGAAUAGACAGCGGUACUUGACUCAUUAUUUGGGUUUAUCAUGAACUGGCACACUUUGAAUCUAUUGAUAGAGUUUAAGCAUGGAUCCUUUCUGGGAUGAUGCACUUCUUCACAUAUGUAACCUUGUCCUUCUUGGAUGGAACAAUGGCUUAUGCCCUCCAGACAAAUUUGUUCUUGAACACUACCAUUGCCAGACCGUUUAUGUGGCUUAAUCCAGCUGGUUAUUAUAUCUGGCACAAAUAAUGAUUACUUUACCCGUCUUUCUAGUCCUAUGAUCGGAUAAAUGGUCUCAAUUUUUGCAUCAAUGAUUGUGUGAACAGUUGCCAACAGUGCAUUUCUUUUGUGAUCAUAUUCAAAAUGUACCAACUCCCACCAGUUUCUUAAUAUUAAUUCUUUCUCAGUAGUGACUUCUAGUAUCAAUUGCCCAAAUCCCUGAAUACCUCUGUCUUCUUAUACCACUGACUACCAUCUGUAUCCAUACUUGGGCUUGACCACAUGACAGAGCAAGCCCCGUGUCAUUCUGUCUUUUCCAUAGCACGUAUGACUAGUAGUCCUUCCAAUUGGCGUAUUUGGUGCCACACAGGUAGUAAGUCUGCAGUAGUGGCCACCUGGUGUCCCAUGUCUGAUGUUGAUGUUGUAAUUGGUCGCUCAACCUCCCUCAAUUGCUUAUUGGCAUGUGAGAGCUUGUUCAUUAUAAUUUCUGUAUUAACUGAAUUCAUUACACCUAAUCCGGUACC